AUUGAACGCUGGCGGCAUGCCUUACACAUGCAAGUCGAACGGCAGCACGGGGCAACCUGGUGGCGAGUGGCGAACGGGUGAGUAAUGCAUCGGAACGUACCUUUCAGUGGGGGAUAACGUAGCGAAAGUUACGCUAAUACCGCAUAUUCUGUGAGCAGGAAAGCAGGGGAUCGCAAGACCUUGCGCUGAUUGAGCGGCCGAUGUCAGAUUAGCUAGUUGGUGAGGUAAAGGCUCACCAAGGCGACGACCUGUAGCGGGUCUGAGAGGAUGAUCCGCCACACUCGAACUGAGACACGGUCCAGACCCCUACGGGAGGCAGCAGUGGGGAAUUUUGGACAAUGGGGGCAACCCUGAUCCAGCCAUGCCGCGUGAGUGAAGAAGGCCUUCGGGUUGUAAAGCUCUUUCGGCCGGGAAGAAAUCGCACGGGCUAAUACCCUGUGUGGAUGACGGUACCGGAAUAAGAAGCACCGGCUAACUACGUGCCAGCCGCCGCUGUAAAAC
rnacentral:rRNA from 1 species